UCUAAGAGUGGAAUGCCAUACCUCGUUGAAUUCGUAAUAAAUUUUACUAUCCACCGGUGCUCAAAAAAGGAAAAUGUAAUUUUUUUUUGUAAUUUUUUGCAAAUUUUGAUGAAGGUACUUACCGAAAAUGCAGAAAUUUGUCAAAUAAAUUCCUUACAUUAUAAAAAAAACAAACCAAUAACAUGCAGCGAGAUCAGAACGGCGAUAUUUUAUUUAUUAAAUCACAUAAAUGCCUCUUAAACACCUUGAACAAUAAACCAUUAAGUUAGCCGCUGGCCAUAUAGGCUGACCUCGUUCCUGGGCCACAGAGGCAUACCCUCAAUACCCGCAACACACCCAAAAGCCAGUGCCCCGAGGCGUUAAGCAGGAAGGCGUUUUCACCUCUCAUGGCAUAACGCGCAUACGCACCGUUGUACGGCGGGGGCGGUGUGUGUGCGUAAGUGAAGGCAAACAAACAUAAAAGCAAACAAUAAAUGGAAAAAAUAAACCGUACACCCCGGCUUUUUUGUGAAAAUAAAUGAUUAUUUAAUAUUUAUUUUCAUGUUGCUUGAGGAAGGUGAAAGGUGGACGAUGGACGGUGGCCAACGGCUGCAGCAUUUUUCAUGCCACUUCAAGUGAGUCUAAGUGCCUCGCCGGGCCCGGCCAUUAAUGCCAACUGAUUGGUCAGUAGAGAACUAACCAUUCGAGCCAAGGAAGCACCAGACAAAAUACCCCGACAUACACACACACAUGUAUUUUUUAUUUUGCCAACGUUUCUGAUUAUUUACGCCUGAUAGGGCCCAGUUCUGGAGGGUGUAAAAAUGAUUGAAUGUGCCUGGCAGUGAAAUCGGAAUUGGAUGGGUCUGCCUGGGCUUUGUUGUCUGGGCUUAGUUUUAGUUGUGAAUGGAUGUUUUUGGGCUUGGGCUAACGAAUUACUGGGAGCUCGAGUGAUUUAUUGAUUUAAAUGGGAACUUUAAUACAUGGGCAGAAAAUAAGCAACACUAGCUGACGCAAUAAAAAGCAAUCGUGUCACGGCUCAAUGCAAAUAACAAAUUAUUUCAACUGUACUGAAAAUUAUUAGUUAGCUUAGUUUUCCAAGCAUAUACAGUCAAUUGGCUGUCACAUUAGUUACGUAAUAUUUGACGAGACUGUAUAAAAACGCUAUUGUUUUUACCUUGAUACUCUGAGCAAAAAAAAAAUCAGUGAACCGUAGAGACAAUCAAAAUGCGCACACACACGCUCAAAGUGCUGCCUCAAUCACUCAGGAAGAGCUAAAAAACCUUUGCAGUUUUUUCACUUCCACAUCGAUGCGAAAGUGAAAAGGGCUGACCAUUUGAGGGAGGGAAAUUCCGGCCGAAAGAAGGAUUCAAGUGGUUGGUCGGCUUGACGGCACGUUUAAUGAAUUGGAAGCUUAGCUCUUCUUCGGCUCCCUUUUGGGGCCAGCGGUCAGGCGAAUUAAUUAAAGCACAUAAAAAAUGGUCGAGUGCUAGGAAUGCAAUAAAGUCAACCAGGUUCGGCCGCUCGGCAGGGGAAAUGGGAAAUGGGAAAGCAACUAACGGCAGCAACUAUGCAUAGCUAUAGAGCACCCGAGCACGCAUCAUUUAAGCGCUAAAUUAUAGCAUACUUUUAUGCGGCAGGUUAUAAUUCACUGUACGUGCGAAAUGCAGUUGCAGUCCAAAACUGACAGUGGUUCUGGUGGCGCUGGUGGUGCUGGUGGUACUGGUGUGGUGUUUGGUGCCACUGUGGAAAAUUAUCAUUUUAAUUGCGCAUUUCCCAACGGCACAUAAAAACAGCAAUGGCAGAACGGUGAAAAAAUAGUCGGCAAACCAAAAGCGCCGAAGUCAAAGCCCAAGUAAAUAAAUUAUGCUGCAGACUUGUGCAAUAACUAAAAUUAACAAAAACAACAGCAUUUUAUUGCACGUCUCGCCGUUUUAUUUGCAUUAAUUUGCUCCUGCAGCCGCGCAAAACGAGCAACGAAAGCGCACGAAACCACUGACAGAAAAAAAUUGCAUUCGCAUCUGGAGGUAAAAAAGAGUAUAGGAAAUGCGCUCCGCCCCCGUCUGUCCAUCGUCAAAUGUGCACAAAUUAAAAAGCCAACGCCGCGAAAUGAAAACAUGAUAAAGUCGGGAGCGCAUCCCCAAACAAAGUUGCCAUCGAAAUUUGGUCACGUGCCACCUCGCUCCGAAAAACGCCCAAAACGCGACUGUGUGGAGUUAUUUACGUGCCGCGCACAUUUUUUGGCGCUUAAUUCAUGCUCUUUCUGGGAGAGGGGGCAGGCUGCAUGGUGCGGGGUGCGGAGUGCAGGGAAGCGGCUGGCGGAGCGACAGAAGCAGGAGCAGAAGUGAACAAACAAACAGCCAAAAGGACGCACAAACAAAAUGGAACUUCUUGCGCGCAUAGAGAGACAACGUCAGGACAUCGCUGGCAUUUUGACUGCCCCUCCGCUGCUUUUUGGGCGGACGCAGACGGAGCUCCAAUCGCCAUAUAGCAACCACUCGCUGUUUGUUGUCUCAGCAUUUGUUUGCACAGCCACUGCGAAACUGCAGCAUACUUCGGGGCGCUGGCGCAACGCGGCGUAUACUUAAUUUGCGGUUGGCGCUGGUCACAGCACGUAGCCGCUAAGUAUGCUACGCCUAAUGACCAGCAGAGGCGAGUGGCGCCAGGACAUCGUCUCCGCUGGCGGGAUGUGGCAAUGCUCUGACUGCAGAGACUGUGUUGCGCCGAAGAACAUGGUAUAACAGUUUAGGUU